rnacentral:lncRNA from 1 species
CCGGCUCUGGGGCUCUGCGCUCCUCGGAUUACGCAUGCUCAGUGCAAUCUUCGGUUGCCUGGACUAGCGCUCCGGUUUUUCUGUGCUGAACCUCAGGGGACGCCGACACACGUACACGUCCCUUCGAUAGCUCAGCUGGUAGAGCGGAGGACUGUAGCUACUUCCUCAGCAGGAGACAUCCUUAGGUCGCUGGUUCGAUUCCGGCUCGAAGGAGACAAGUGCGGUUUUUUUCUCCAGCUCCCGAUGACUUAUGGCACUUUCCUUGGGUGCCUUCAGUGACACAUUGCAUUCCAACGAGCAGUUUGAAAGUCUAGCGCUUUCUCCCCAUUUUGGGCCUCCCAGCCUGCACGGGACUCAUCUGAGGCUAAGCUGCCCAUAGUUCGGGGAGACCCACAGGGAAAACAAAACAAGAAACAGAGAACUUGGAAACGGACGCUGAUUACUUUGAACGUUUGCUCAACCGAGGAAGCAGGAACUGUUCGGCCCCAUCUCAAGUCCGCAGGGCGGACUGCCUGGCUCUGGGCAGAUCCGAGGUGGAUAGGACAAGGCAAAAGGUAGCCCUGGAGAGGUGAGUGGAUAAAGUCCCUGGACACAGGGGCUGCCGUUGGAGGAGGUUGUAAUGUCAUUGUCCUCCUGUGGAAGUUAACUGUGGAGAAUUAACUAGAGACCAGCGCUGAGAGAGAAUUAAUUGGAUAAAAGUUCUAUCUAGGACAGUCCUUGAGCGUAAUUUUGUGAAGCAAACACAAGACAACAACAAAACGAGUAAAACCUAAACACACAUCCACACACUCACUGAAAGAUUCAGAGAUUGCACAGAACACAAAGACUUUUCUGGUAAUAAAAUCUCCCUAUCCUAAUUUUCUAGAAAAAAAGCUGUUGAAGCCACCGCGCAGUUCUUACAAGACAUAACACAAAUCUUCCACACAAAGGCAGAAAUACAGUAUCAACCUUUGUGAGGAGUACAGCAAAUAAAU